GACGAACGCUGGCGGCGUGCCUAAUACAUGCAAGUUGAGCGAUGAAGAUUGGUGCUUGCCCCAAUUUGAAGAGCAGCGAACGGGUGAGUAACGCGUGGGGAAUCUGCCUUUGAGCGGGGGACAACAUUGGGAAACGAAUGCUAAUACCGCAUAACAACUUUAAACAUAAGUUUUAAGUUUGAAAGAGGCAAUUGCAUCACUAAAAGAUGAUCCCGCGUUGUAUUAGCUAGUUGGUGAGGUAAAGGCCAACCAAGGCGAGGAUACAUAGCCGACCUGAGAGGGUGAUCGGCCACAUUGGGACUGAGACACGGCCCAAACUCCUACGGGAGGCAGCAGUAGGGAAUCUUCGGCAAUGGACGAAAGUCUGACCGAGCAACGCCGCGUGAGUGAAGAAGGUUUUCGGAUCGUAAAACUCUGUUGGUAGAGAAGAACGUUGGUGAGAGUGGAAAGCUCAUCAAGUGACGGUAACUACCCAGAAAGGGACGGCUAACUACGUG
rnacentral:rRNA from 1 species